AACGCACCUUGCACUCUUUGGUAUUCCGAAGAGUAUGUCUGUUUGAGUGUCAUGAAACUCUCAACCCCCCUAUUUUGUAAUGAAAUGGGCGUGGGCUUGGAUUAUGGUUGUCUGUCGGCGUAAUUGCCGGCUCAACUGAAAUACACGAGCAACCCUAUUUAAAUAAACGGUUUGACUUGGCGUAAUAAUUAUUUCGCUAAGGACGUUUUCUUAAAAUAUAAGAGGUGCUACUAAUUCGCUAUUAUAGCAUUUAAGCUUUAGACCUCAAAUCAGUCAGGACUACCCGCUGAACUUAA
rnacentral:misc_RNA from 3 species